AGUCCCUUCGCUGGAUGCUGAGCUCAGGAAGUCAUUUCUAGCUCACCUUCCCCAGAGUCCACUGUCCUGAGAGGCAGGUGACUUUUAUGGUCCUGUGCUCCGCUGACCUUUUAGGGGGCAAGUUUUCUUCAACAGGUGGGAAGAAGGCAGGGGGUCUCUCUAUAGGAAGGAGGGGGAGACACAAUCUCACUAAGCACAUAACAGCUGCUAAGGCCGCUGGGAGCUAGCCAUCCUGGCACUGCAGAGGCUAGCCAUCCUGGCACUGCAGAGGCUAGCCAUCUUACUACUGCGGAAGCAGUAAUGAGGACUAACCAGCAAAUGCAAGCAAGGCUAUUUAUCUUUUGCUGGCUGGGGUCAGCCAUCAUUGCCUGUGUUCAGUAGUGACUCAGAGGCAGGAGAAAGCUUUUCCAUGAAGAUUCAGACAUCCCCUGACCAGGGACCACUGGAGGCCAGCUACAAGGAGCACCCAUGGGAUUGGGUAUGCACUGGCUCUCCAAACUGGAAUUAAUUGACAAAAGUUAGGAAAGGCUGCUCAUUGUAGAUAAGAGAUUGCUGAGGGUUGUGAGUCCGGAUCUGUUUUGAAGUGAGAAGCAUAGGGAAGAGACUCACCUCAAAUCACCACUCAUAAGGGGCCCAGUAGGAGCUGCACCCAUGCAACCGCCUCCAGCAAACAGAACCUCUAACAACUGGUGCACUUAUGCCAGUGGCCCAGUGAGUUCCCAGCGCUGAGGCCACUGCCCCCAGCAUUGCUGUGUCCUCUCUGACGAUGCUCCGGAUGUCCCCCUAUACCCACAGGGUUUUUCUAUGGAGCCCAUGCCAACCACAAACUUGACAUUCGCCUGCCUCAGCCUUCUACGUGCUCAGCUUAUAGGUAUGUGUCCCCAGGCUUGGCACACUGUGGUUCCUUGGCAUUUUAAGUAUUUCAAUAACUCAGUUUUGCUUUGAAUGGAAAAUGUUUCCUGGAAGUUGUCUACUCUAUCAUGCAGAAGACUUUAACCCCCAGGCUCCCAAGACUCCCUGCAGCCAUCAGGACCACAUGUUUCAGGGCCUUUCUGGGUGUCAGCUUCCCCUGUGCAGCCUGUCUUGGGAGUAGAAUAGGUAGGCACGGAAGGGUCUGGCUUUGUCCUGGACUUCUUGGGGGUCUGUCUUUUCUCUGGGCCAGCAGCACAGCCAGGGCAUUAGAAGUGUGGUCACCAAAUAAGUACCUGAGCGUCUCUGAGGUAAAAACUUAGAUCCUUACGGCUGAAAUGAGUCUUGGGAUCCUGGCCUCAAUUUCCCUGAGAACAGGGCACUGAGAGCCCCACUUGGAGGAUAAAUGGGGGUCAGACUCAGACUUCUGGCCCUGACCUGGAUGGACCCCUGCUCCUGUCUCCCUGCCAGCCACAGGUGGUCUUUCUCUUCCUUUCCUACUUCUAGUCUCAGGUGGUUGCCACUUAUCAGGGUGCUGAGGCAAUCAGAAUGCAGAUGGUUGAUCUGCUGUUUUAAAGAUCUUUGAGGCAGGAGAACGGUGAGUUCAAGGCCAGCCUGGGCUCCAUAGCACGCCCCUGCUUUUAAAAAGAGAGUGGAGUGGGGAGACGGCAGAGUCAGUAAAAUGCUUGCUCUCUAACAGGAGAACCCCAGUUCAACCCCCAGAAUGGAUGUAAAAAAAGCCAAGAACAGUGGUGUGUGUUUGUGUUCCUGGUUCAGAGAGACAGGCAGGCAGAUCCUUGGGGCUAGAUGGCAGCAAGCCUAGCUGAAUUGGUGAUUCCAGGUCAGUGAGAGAUCUUGUCUAAAAAUUCAAGGUGGAGGCUCAAGAGAGAUGGCUCAGCCAUUAAGAACAUUUGUUACUCUUACAGAGGAACCUAGGUUCAGAUUUCAGCACCCGCACAGUUUCACAAUCACCCAUAAUUCUGUUUCAAAGGAUCUUCUGACCCCUGUGGGCACCAGGCACACAUGUGGUGCAAAGACAUGCAUACAAGCCAAACAGUCAAUCAUACAAAGAUAAAGCAAAUACUCCUGAAAGCCAAACAAACUGUCAAGUGAUUCAAGAAGACAGCCAAUGUUGACCUCUGGCCUCCAAGUGCACAUUGUACUCUUGUGUACCUGUGUACAAAUAAACACACACAUAUGUACAACACACACACACACACACAAAAUACAAAAUGCAAAUAUAUGCAGAGUUCCUAAUUCCCCAAGUUUGGCUUCAGUGUUAUCUGUCGCUGGGAGUUAUAUACGUGUUCCCAAGGACAAAACUGAGACAACACUGCUUCCCUGUUUCCCCAGUACUCAGCAACUGUUCCCCUGGCAAGCCGUUCUGACUACAGCUUUCCAAGACAAGGUCUCCCACUUUGCAUAGCAGCAAACUGAGGCUCCAAGAGGAACGUCACAUGAGUACUUGAAGUCAGGUGGCUGAGACAGAUUCCCAAGGCGAGGGUGCACCUCUAGGUAGCUGCAGCCCUGGUUCACGUGAGAAGAGCCCACCCAGACUACAUGGGAAACGGGUAGACAAGGACCACUCAGGAGGACUUGAGUGAGACAGGAUGAAGGGUAUUACCUUGUCUGUUGACCUCUCCUCCUUCCCAGCUUCUUGGUGACUUGGCUCCUGUAGUGGUUUAUUCUUCUGGAGAUUCCAAAUCUUGGAUUCAAAGAAUUACUUGAGCAUGGUGGCAUCCACACAGCAGUCUGACACCAUGGGUCCCUUACCCACUUUAAUGCCCCAUCUCUCCAGAGUCAACUGCAUUUUCUGUGUGAGCAUGGGUGUGUGCGUAUGAGUGCAUGUGGCUGUGGGUGCACAUGCCAGCUAGCUCAGGGAUCUGCUCGUCUGCAUCCCUAGCACUGGGAUUAUUGUGUGAUUAUUGUGUGAGUGCAUCUGGCUGUGGGUGCACACACCAGCUAGCUCAGGGAUCUGCUUGUCUCUGCAUCCCUAGCACUGGGAUUAUUGUGUGUCACUGCAUAACUCUUUUGCUUUGUGUUGUUUUCCACAGGCUCUGGGGACUGAAGUCUGCCCUGAUGCUUGCACAGCAGACGUUUUCCUGAGGAACCAUCUCCCCAACCUCUGUAUUUCUCUUUGCAGUUGAGAUCUGACCCACGGCCGGAUUCCAAUCCUGAACCUUGUGCUUAUGUCACCAACGAGAUGGGACAUGCUGCCACAACAGGAGCUGAGAGCUUGGGGAGGGUGCUGUCCAAAUUCUGUUGUAUCACAGCAGGGAGGGAAGGGCCUGAGGCACGAGACCGAGAGGGAGUCAGGAGAUUGCCUUUCUAUUCUUAGUUCUGCAAUGAGCUUGCUGUGUGCCCUUGGGCAGAUCAGUUCCUCUCUCUAACCCUCAGUUUCCUCAUUUGCUACAACCAAAUGCAGAAUCUUCAAGGCUUUCCCUUUCAGUUCUAACGAGCCCACAGUUCUAGCUGGGAUGCGGGAUGUGUGUGAAGAAAUCUGAGUCUUGGUUUCAUUUCGUAACUUGGGCCCCUCAGCACUUCCCAGCUGGGGCUGGGAACAGGACCAACAUUCAUUGACAAAUGAAGAGUGUGUGCAGAGCCUCGAUACCCAGAUAAUAACAAAGAACCUUAAACAUGAAAAAAACACAUGAAAGGUAAUAUGUUCCCCAUUAGUCCCAGUAUCAUUUCCCCAGGAUUACUGCUUUCCAAAUAUAGCAUUAGCUUAAAAAUAAAAGGCCGUUUACAGUAAUGGGACACUCGGUACUACUCUGGAGCAUGUGGGCUCUCCAAGGGCCUUGUACAACGGCUUCAUUAAGUGGGAACUGCAGGGGAGAAAGGCUGGCUUUAAAAAAAAAAAUCCCAGCAUGCCUCCUCAAAGGCCCCCAGAUAGGCCACCUACCCUGACCCAAGGCCCGUGUCUAACAAGCUCUUAAUUCCGCUUUCAGAACUGCUUUUUCACGCGUUGUUUCUUCCAGAGAUGAAAACAUUUUCCAAGCUGACAAGCCAUCAACUGGGUGCCACCCGGGAAGAGAAGCCUUGGUCCAGAGCUCUGUAUUCUGCCCUCACAGGCAGGAGAACAUGGAACUGCCAUCCAUACCCAAUGGGCCAUCCUGGGUUUGGGAGGUCUCUUUUACCCUGAGAUCCAGCAGGUUCAAGCGAAGUUAUGAGAGCAGACUCAAGGAUCAUGUCUACCAACCAGUUUGUCUUAGUGUUCAUGGACCAGAGACUGCUUUGCCUGUUGGGGUUGGCUGAAGCCUGUUAUACAGUUACAUAAGCUAAUUUAUCUGGGGGACAAAGCCGUCGUGUACACAGAAGGGCCUUCUUAAAUGGCAGCUAGGGCCACUCUAAUUUUCUUCCAUGGGCUGGUCUGUAUGUGACAAGACCCCACUGGAAACUGACAGUUGGCUGAGGGUGUCUGUUGGCUGUUUUGGUGCAACAUUGCAGGCCCCCUAUGACUCGGGGAGCAAGCCUCCCGGCAUCCACUAAACACCCAGUUCUUAGAGGCUCCACAGAGUGAGGGAGCAGCCUGAGGGGAGAUGUGCUUCAAAUCCCCAACUGGAUGCCAACCUUACCUCAGUUGUCAGCAGGGAGGGGGAGGUCCAGAGGGUACAUGGAGGGCAAGACAGAGAAACAAGAGCAUACACUUAUUACUUUUGCCCUGGGUGGGGGUCACUUCACUAGGCCCGUCUUUGUCUUGGGGAUGGGGUGGUGGGGGAGUUCCUUGGUUAAGAUGGGGAUAGCGUCACUGUGGCCAUUUGAGGAAGCAACUCACUGGGCUGUUAUCAGCUUUGGAUUUCCUUGGCUGAGCUCAGUUACUGUUCAGCGUUCUUGUCCUUGAAGCCAAAAUGGCUAAUUUCUCAUGCUUCUGGCUCUGUGGCUGGCAUGUCUCCCUUGAGGUGAGAGAACGAGUUAGCUGCUCCCACAUGAGGAAUAUCCCCGGCUCUCCAGGUCCUGCCCAGGCAUCACAUGGAUUUAUCCUCUCAUUGGUCCCCACAGGAUCAUGGCAAUCCAUGUGUGAGUGACUUGCAGAGAAGGGGGUUGGAGUGAUGAGAGGUCGAGCCACCUGCCAAGGCUGCAGCAGCUGAGCAGUAGAUGGCAGGUGGUUAGUGUGUUAGAGCCCCUGCCUUGAGUACUGGACCUCAUCAUUUGUUAGAACUCAGCUCUGUGGUGUCUACUGACUACAUCCAAGUCUCUCAUAAGAUAGAAGACAGAGCCAGCCCUUGGUCACAAUGCCUGAUUUAGAAUCGUGGUUUUUUAUGGGUUACUGCUUCCUCAGGAGGUUAGGUUUGACAUUCUGGAGACCACUCAAGGCACAGGUUUGGACUGAGUCCUUUGGCCUAGAGGGAUCUACAGUGCAGUCCCAGGCAGGACUCCUGUCCUCCAGGGCUCACACAGUUUCAGUGAUUUGGACUGGGAUAAUUGCAAAAGGAAUUUGCACCUACAGAAGAGGAAAGGGAAGCUAGGAGGAAGAGCCAUGUCCAAGGUUCAGACACUGGGCUGUGGCCCUGAGUUUAGAAUGUCUUCUGUUUAACCGUUGUUGAGUGUGCAGAUUAGAAUAUUUAUUUAUUUAUUUAUUUAUUUAUUUAUUUAUUUAUGUCAAGUUGACACAGCUAGAAAAAGGAAAUGUCACUUGAGAAAAAGCCUCCAUCAGAUUGUCCAGUAGGCACGUUUGUGGGGCUUUUUCUUGAUUAAUGAUUUCUGUGGUAUAGCUCAAUCCACUGUGAGCGAUGCACCUUGGGCAGGUGGUCCCGGGUCGUAUAAGAAAGGCUGGGCAAGCCAUGGCAAGCAAGCCAGGAAGCAGUGUUCUUCUACAGUCUUUGCUCCAGUUCCUGCCUUGAGUUCCUGCCUUGACUUCCCUAAUUGAUGUUCUCUAAACCAAAUAAACACUUCUCUACACAAA